GAUGAAGAACGUAGCGAAAUGCGAUAAGUAAUGUGAAUUGCAGAAUUCAGUGAAUCAUCGAAUCUUUGAACGCACAUUGCGCCCGCCAGUAUUCUGGCGGGCAUGCCUGUUCGAGCGUCAUUUCAACCAUCAAGCCCCCGGCUUGUGUUGGGGACCUGCGGCUGCCGCAGGCCCUGAAAAGCAGUGGCGGACUCGCUGUCACACCGAGCGUAGUAGCAUACAUCUCGCUCUGGGCGUGCUGUGGGUUCCGGCCGUUAAACCACCUUCAUAACCCAAGGUUGACCUCGGAUCAGGUAGGAAGACCCGCUGAACUUAAGCAUAUCAAUAAGCGGAGGA
rnacentral:misc_RNA from 1 species